AGAAACUAACAAGGAUUCCCCUAGUAACUGCGAGUGAAGCGGGAAGAGCUCAAAUUUAAAAUCUGGCGGUCUCUGGCCGUCCGAGUUGUAACCUGGAGGAGGCUUUUCCGUGUCGGACCGUGUACAAGUCUCCUGGAAUGGAGCGUCAUAGAGGGUGAGAAUCCCGUCCAUGACACGGACGCCCGAUGCUUUGUGAUAGUCUCCCGAAGAGUCGCGUUGUUUGGGAAUGCAGCGCAAAAUGGGUGGUAAAUUCCAUCUAAAGCUAAAUAUUGGCGAGAGACCGAUAGCGAACAAGUACCGUGAGGGAAAGAUGAAAAGCACUUUGGAAAGAGAGUUAAACAGUACGUGAAAUUGUUGAAAGGGAAACGCUUGAAGUCAGUCGCGUCCCGGGGAACUCAGCCUGGCCUCGGCCUGGUGUACUUUCCUCGGGACGGGUCAACAUCAGUUUCGGGCGGUGGAUAAAGGCGAGGGGAAUGUAGCGUUGUUUCGGCGACGUGUUAUAGCCCCUUGUUGUAUACACCGUCGGGGACUGAGGACCGCAGCACGCCCUUGUGGCCGGGGGUUCGCCCCACGUACCGUGCUUAGGA
rnacentral:rRNA from 1 species